AUUGAACGCUGGCGGCAGGCCUAACACAUGCAAGUCGAGCGGAUGACGGGAGCUUGCUCCUGGAUUCAGCGGCGGACGGGUGAGUAAUGCCUAGGAAUCUGCCUGGUAGUGGGGGACAACGUUUCGAAAGGAAUGCUAAUACCGCAUACGUCCUACGGGAGAAAGCAGGGGACCUUCGGGCCUUGCGCUAUCAGAUGAGCCUAGGUCGGAUUAGCUUGUUGGUGAGGUAAUGGCUCACCAAGGCGACGAUCCGUAACUGGUCUGAGAGGAUGAUCAGUCACACUGGAACUGAGACACGGUCCAGACUCCUACGGGAGGCAGCAGUGGGGAAUAUUGGACAAUGGGCGAAAGCCUGAUCCAGCCAUGCCGCGUGUGUGAAGAAGGUCUUCGGAUUGUAAAGCACUUUAAGUUGGGAGGAAGGGCAGUAAGCUAAUACCUUGCUGUUUUGACGUUACCGACAGAAUAAGCACCGGCUAACUCUGUGCCAGCAGCCGCAGUAAUAC
rnacentral:rRNA from 1 species